AGAAAAUGGCACCUGAUGUCAGCGAGCAGCUGACACCUGAUGUCAGGGACAGACCUCAGCAGCAAUUGGCACCUGAUGUUAGCCAGCCGAUUGUCGAAGAAAGCGACAGACCUCAG